AAAAAUGCUGACUACGAGGGGCAUCAAGUCAGGCUGACGAUGGGCAAAGUCGUUUCUCACGCACGUCAGGCGCUGUCUUUAUUGGGGUGGCUGGAUCCUUGUACCCACUGCACACGUGGUCCCACACACACUCAUUCACAGGCACGCUCAGUGCAGGCCUAGGCCAAUCCACGGCCAGGAAAGGCUCCAGACUUUUUCACGAGGGCCCUGCCAAGCUCUUGCAGUCGGUGGAGCAAUUCUGCUGCUGCUGCUGCUGUGUAUGACCCCAAUGGAGCAAUUUGCAGGUCACGUGCACAUUGUCCGGCAUCGUCUACGGUCGCAAACCACCACUCGCCCUCCCCCCGUCGCCACCACCACUCGUCAUUGCAAGCAGACCGACGUUUCGCGCGACGCCCCUGGGCGAGGGAACAGCGCGAGAGGUUCCUGUGCUGCUCGGGACGGAGGUCCCCCCCGCCCCCCUGCCGACGACGACGAGGAGGAGGAGCGCACCCCGAGAGCGACGUCGGUGCGACGUCCACACGCGGGUGUUGAGAGUUGACACGAGCAGC